rnacentral:rRNA from 1 species
GGUUAAGCGACUAAGCGUACACGGUGGAUGCCCUGGCAGUCAGAGGCGAUGAAGGACGUGCUAAUCUGCGAAAAGCGCCGGCGAGGUGAUAUGAACCCUUGACCCGGCGAUGUCCGAAUGGGGAAACCCAGUGUGUUCCGACACACUAUCGUUAACUGAAUACAUAGGUUAACGAGGCGAACCGGGGGAACUGAAACAUCUAAGUACCCCGAGGAAAAGAAAUCAACCGAGAU